rfam:Trichobilharzia regenti genome assembly, scaffold: TRE_scaffold0011703
GUAUUGAUGAAGAGUCCAAAACAAGGACGAAACAGCUGUCCACCAGUAU